AACUUUGCAAUUCUGACUUUAGAUUCGGAUUCAGCGGGUCGAAAUACAUAAGGAUUGACUAGUCUAGUCCGCCGGACCAACCACUUUUUUUUGUGUGUGCCUGUGUUAUUACUAUCUUGUACAUUAACCACGUUAACUAUUAAUAUUAAAUAUUACAUUUUAUUACAAUUAUAAAUUUACAUAAAUUUAAUAAUUAAUGAUUAUAUAAUUUUCCAAUUACAGCAGUGGAAGGAUUUACUUGCAAACACUGCAGUGCACAUAUUAUUUCAGCUUCUAUUAUUUAUCAAAUGUUAAACAAAUAAAAUAAUUCAUUGUGAAGCACUGUAUCUUUUAUUUAAUAAGACUUAUUAGAAAAUGCUCAAUUCAUAAAAAAAAAUUUUAAUUUAUACCACAAAUCUUUUGGUAAUUACUGCUCUGCUCUCUGGCGGUAAAAUAAAGUUGAACAACGUUCCAGCUACAACUCGACAUUGUGUAACACUGUGUUAUACAGUGACGGCACAAUGUUUCAUAGCUGGAAAGCACCCUUUGUAAAUUUAUAGGCUUUGGUAUUAUGAUUAUGGGUUAACGGUUUUAUUUAUCUAGGUUUUGCGAAUUAAAAGUAAUCUUAGCGUGUAAGGUAUUUUCGGUUAAUUUUUGAGAUUAGGUACAUGUAUAUGAAUUUUGCCGCAAUGCCUCGUUAUAGUGGAUUAUCUAACAUGCAUAAAAAAAAAAAAAAAAAUACGUCGGAUUAGAUUUAAAAAUUGAACUGUGGAGCGAUUUUUGUUCAAAAAGCCACACUGUGCGGUAUGGUAACGCUAGAGACAUAACAAUAUCAAUUCAAUAGCGACAUAUUAUGACGUGUCAAAAUAAAUUCAUAAUUAUAUUCACAUUUGUACCGUAUAAUAAACAUUUUUUAUGUAAUUACUAGAUCCAUAGAUAUUUUUGACGUAAAAAUAAUUAAAAAUGUUGACACAGUGAGUCGUGCUAUAGCUCGAACGGCUUGGCAUGCUCUCAUUCCUACAAUUAAAAAAAUUAAUCUCUCGGUUAUCAAUGGAAAUAUCCAAAAACUAUAGUAGAUUUUUACAUUCAUCUUGAUCCCGUCUAUCUUCCUAUUAAUGAAUGGACAAUGUUCGCAUUUCUCCCUGUAUAUGAAUUUAUUUUGAUGUCAUAUGUCAUUACAUGUCAUAUCAUCAAUAUUGAAUUGAUAUUUUGUAAUGAUAUUAAUUUGCAUAUGUAAUGUACAAAUAGUGAUUUUAUAGUAAAAGUAGAAAUUUCUUAACCGCUUUGGGCACGCGCAAUUUUUUAUGAGAAGGAAAAAAAGUUAAAAGUGAUCAUAUUUGAAAGACUUACUAGAGAGUUUUCAAAUCCCUCAAUACGAAUGAGAUUUAAAAAUUUAUAAUUAAAAAUGGCGGAUUCAAUAUAGCGAUUAAAAAAUAAAAAUCUAUCGUUAUGAAGCACUUUUCGUAGGGAAAAAUUGAUUUCAUAUAAAUUGGCUCAUACUUUGGCAAAAGAUAGCUGAAGGCAUGCUGAUUAAAAGUUGUAAUUGCUAAGUCAAUCCUAUUAAUCCGAAGGCUUGCGACAGAAAUUUUCGGCCAAUUUCAUCAUCUUUUAUUUUAAGUCUUACUACUAUUUGAAUAUUAUAAAUAGCGAAAGUAUAGGUCUGGCAGGGUACGCGCGGUUCAGAGCUUAACAGGAAUGAAUGAAAGAUGUAAAAAAUGAAAGUAUUAUUGACUAAUAUCAGUAUUGCUGAAAUUUUUUUUACUAAUAAUGUAUAGAAUAAAAAACCUAAGAAAGUCGGUCUGGCAGUUUACAAAGUCUGCGGUUUAAAGUGGGUCUGGCACUUAAACAAACAUAUCAAAAAAAUUAUAUAUUUUGACUUAAAUUAUUAUUCUUAAAACUUUUUGUAUAAAUAAUUUAUAUUAUAAAAUAUUGAAAACAAGUCUGGCAGUCUUUUAAUAGGACAAAUGUGAUCUGGCAGCCGUUUGAAAGGAUAAAGACGUUGGCACGCCACGCGAGCCAGAAUGCUUUAUUAAUUAGAGAAGAAAACUCGGAAAAAAAUGCUGGAAAAAAUUAUGGCGAGAAAAACACUUUUAUUACAAUUAUUAAUUAAUUCUGCUGAAAAGAAUAUAAACGCGUCAAAUCCUGGUUUUAGGUACAGUGAGACUCUCAAGUUAUUUUUGACAUAUAUAUUUAUGCUUGGAGGAAGAUUACUAUACGAAACACUGUAUAAAAAUUUUCAAUUACCUUCUCCUACGUCUAUAAGCAGAUACUUGUAAGAGAAUGGGCAAAAAAUUGUUGAGGGAGAAUUACGUUGUGAUUAAUUGAAAUCUUACUUACGUGAAAGAAACUUGUCUCCUGUUAUACGGAUCUCGAAGGAUGCUACAAGAAUAACUGAACAUCGUCACACGCUGGAAAUUCAUUCUUAAAGAACUAGCUAAAUCUGGAAUAACUGUACUCAGAUUUUCGUCAGAUGGAGAUUCUCGUUUAUUAAAAGCAAUGCACACGGAAAUACAUUUGGGAGUUUCACAGGUGUGCAAUACCUCAAACUCGGAUUUGACAUCAAAUUGGCCGUGGUUCAAUGUUAUAUAUACCGACUGGUUUUGUACAAGAUACCAUAUACAUAGCUACAAAAUUAAAAACAUGUUAUUGAAACCCUCUAUUUUGUUACCAUUUGGAAACAAAGUUAUUUCAGUAAGUCAUUUAAAAAUAACUGAUAAAUAUUAUGUCCAAGGACAAACAUUUGUUAUCUUUGUCUGAUAUUGAACCUAAAGACUAAAAAUGAAUUUUGAAUCUGCUAACAAAAUAUCACAAGAAAAUGUUCGGAAAUUAUUACUUAAUUAUAUUCCUGAUUCUGAAGGUACCGUGCUAUAUUAAAAAAUAUUAAAUUAUAUAAUACUGUCAUAUACUGAUCUUUAUUUAACACCUUUAGAAAGACUUUUUAAAUUAUGGUAUUGUGUGUUUAUAAUACGAAUAUGGCGCAACUCUGUAAAAGGUAAUCAAAAGUAUACUUUAAAAGAUAACUUUUUAAGUUUAAAUUGUUAUGUCUGUAUUGAAAUCAAUGCACAUAGUAUGAUAAAUAUAAUACAAAAGUUAAGAGUUUGCAAUAUGCCAUAUCUGUUCAUGCCGCCAUUGUUUAGUAGUCAAUCCUGAGGCAUUUUUUCGUCAUAUUAGAUCUAUAUCCACUACGUACUCUACUAUUGUAAAUUGUAGUUUACUUGAUGUCAUACAUAGAAUUAAGAGAAUACAAUUACAAAGUGAUAUCUUACCCAGCGAAUUAAAUAAAAACAUUAAUUUCCCGAGAAUAGAACAUAAAGUGAAAACAAUACAAGUUCAAACUAAUUUACCAAUUAAUGACGAUAUUUACAUCGUCAUUAGUUGAUAAAUUAGUUUGAACAACUAUCGAACAAGCUAGGAAUAAAGCAAUCACUAAUGCUCACAAGUUUGAUCUAGAGCUGGGAGAACUAAAUUGCAAUUUACCUUUAGUUGAUGAAUCCAAAAAUGAUGAAAAUCGAGAUAAGAAUGAUAUUUUGUAUGACUGUAUAGACGGCAUUGGAGAAAAUAAUACGGUUGCAUCAGCUUUUAUUCAAGCUUUUAUUUCUAAAAAUAUGGAACAAGAUGACGAUGUUCCAACAGAAGAUAUCCUUGAAGAUGUAUCCACUUUAUCAUACGUGUCUAACGAUUAUCUUAAUAUGAAAAAUUAUGGUGAAACAACUCUUGCACUAAGUAAAACAAGUCCAUUUACUAUUAUGGCAGAUGCGCAUGGUAAAGAAAUAAUUGUUAGAAAAUUGUUUAUCCAUUGGCUUCUUAAUAAAAAUUAUGGUCACCUCAAUCGUGAUCGUUUACAGCGUGUAAUGGAAAAAGAAUUUUCCUCUAAAUCAAAAUCUACUUUAAGAUCAAAUCUAACACCAUCUUGUAGGAUUUGUAAUGACAACUGUCGGUGAGUGAUACCUGUUUCGACAGACCGAAAACAAUGUAAUACUUUUGGAUGUGAUUUUAAGUUUUUCUUACCUUCACGGUAAAAGUCCGUACGCGGGAAUUGUACUUCGUGUGGAUUUGCGCGGCGCUAGUUAUCGGGAGAGGUUUUCCCGCGAAGCGUCGAGGAUAGGCGCGGAUCCGAAUUUCUGUGUCGGUCGCGGUGGGGUACGCCGAGCCGUGACGUGUAGCAAAUUUGCGAGGGCCUGGUGAGAGGCGGAAUAGGGAUGACAGAAUCGUCACGUUAACGGGCCGAGACGCUUGGCGGGGAGCAAGUCACUUGUUUCCCUGGGCGGUCAACGGGGCGUAGGAAAAAUUUGCCUGGUCCGUAUACUGGCUGUCAAGAACGCUCGGUGGGGGAGAAAAUGCUUUACCUCACGGUUGCCAGGUAACGGAUGGCAGGAGAGAGUAAUGGGCUAGGAUAGCGGUGAUGGCUGCCAAGAACGCUUGGUCGAGGACGCUUGGGCGAAGACGCUUUACACCGUUUUCUCGCUGGUUCACCUAGGUUGAAAUCUUCUAUCGGAAGCUCGGGACGAGAGAUUUGUUUGUCGAGUGGAUGACAGAAGUCGUCGUUUCCACCGGCUUUUAUACCGUGGAGGCGCUACUUCGGAGUUGUUUGCCCAGAGUUCGGGUGUUUCCGUCCGCCACGGUUCCCCCGCUCUCGGGGACGUCGAAGCGCGUGUGCGGCGAUGCGGCAAGUCGUCGAGCGCUCUCUUACUGUGGCCUUCGGCGUGGCCGUUGGAAUUGUUUAAAAUUGGGAGCUGGUGACUCGCGCCUUUCCGCUCUUAGAUCUUAUAGUGAUCGGCGGCUCCCUUCGCCGAGGAAUAAUGGCCCUAGGGUGAGUGCAUCGUUACAAGGUACGAUAAGUUAAGUUUUCUAAUUAAGUUUUCUAAAGGAAAAAA
rnacentral:lncRNA from 1 species